rnacentral:rRNA from 1 species
CCUACGGGAGGCAGCAGUGGGGAAUAUUGCACAAUGGGGGAAACCCUGAUGCAGCGACGCCGCGUGAGUGAAGAAGUAUUUCGGUACGUAAAGCUCUAUCAGCAGGGAAGAAAAUGACGGUACCUGACUAAGAAGCCCCGGCUAACUACGUGCCAGCAGCCGCGGUAAUACGUAGGGGGCAAGCGUUAUCCGGAUUUACUGGGUGUAAAGGGAGCGUAGACGGCAGCGCAAGGCUGGAGUGAAAUCCCAUGGCUUAACCAUGGAACUGCUUUGGAAACUGUGCAGCUAGAGUGCAGGAGAGGUAAGCGGAAUGCCUAGUGUAGCGGUGAAAUGCGUAGAUAUUAGGAGGAACACCAGUGGCGAAGGCGGCUUACUGGACUGUAACUGACGUUGAGGCUCGAAAGCGUGGGGAGCAAACAGGAUUAGAUACCCGUGUAGUC